GGAGGAAAGCAGGGGAUCGUAAGACCUUGCGCUUUUGGAGCGGCCGAUGUCUGAUUAGCUAGUUGGUGGGGUAAUGGCCUACCAAAGCUUCGAUCAGUAGCUGGUCUGAGAGGACGGCCAGCCACACUGGGACUGAGACACGGCCCAGACUCCUACGGGAGGCAGCAGUGGGGAAUUUUGGACAAUGGGCGCAAGCCUGAUCCAGCCAUGCCGCGUGAGUGAAGAAGGCCUUCGGGUUGUAAAGCUCUUUCAGCCGGGAAGAAAAGGCUGCGACUAAUAAUCGCAGUUCAUGACGGUACCGGAAGAAGAAGCACCGGCUAACUACGUGCCAGCAGCCGCGGUAAUACGUAGGGUGCGAGCGUUAAUCGGAAUUACUGGGCGUAAAGCGUGCGCAGGUGGUUUUGUAAGUCAGAUGUGAAAUCCCCGGGCUUAACCUGGGAAUU
rnacentral:rRNA from 1 species